rnacentral:rRNA from 1 species
GACGAACGCUGGCGGCGUGCUUAACACAUGCAAGUCGAACGGAAAGGCCCUGCUUUUGUGGGUUGCUCGUGUGGCGAACGGGUGAGUAACACGUGAGUAACCUGCCCUUGACUUUGGGAUAACUUCAGGAAACUGGGGCUAAUACCGGAUAGGAGCUCCUGCUGCAUGGUGGGGGUUGGAAAGUUUCGGCGGUUGUGGAUGGACUGGCGGCUUAUCAGCUUGUUGGUGGGGUAGUGGCUUACCAAGGCUUUGACGGGUAGCCGGCCUGAGAGGGUGACCGGCCACAUGGGGACUGAGAGACGGACCAGACUGCUACGGGAGGCAGCAGUGGGGAAUAUUGCACAAUGGGCGGACGCCUGAUGCAGCAACGCCGCGUGCGGGAUGACGGCUUUCGGGGUGUAAACCGCUUUCGACUGUGACGAAGCGUGAGUGACGGUAAUGGGUAAAGAAGCACCGGCUAACUACGUG